rnacentral:rRNA from 1 species
UCCUACGGGAGGCAGCAGUGGGGAAUCUUAGACAAUGGGGGCAACCCUGAUCUAGCCAUGCCGCGUGAGUGAUGAAGGCCUUAGGGUCGUAAAGCUCUUUCGCCUGUGAUGAUAAUGACAGUAGCAGGUAAAGAAACCCCGGCUAACUCCGUGCCAGCAGCCGCGGUAAUACGGAGGGGGUUAGCGUUGUUCGGAAUUACUGGGCGUAAAGCGCGCGUAGGCGGAUUAGAAAGUUGGGGGUGAAAUCCCGGGGCUCAACCUCGGAACUGCCUCCAAAACUGCUAGUCUAGAGUUCGAGAGAGGUGAGUGGAAUUCCGAGUGUAGAGGUGAAAUUCGUAGAUAUUCGGAGGAACACCAGUGGCGAAGGCGGCUCACUGGCUCGAUACUGACGCUGAGGUGCGAAAGUGUGGGGAGCAAACAGGAUUAGAUACCCUGGUAGUCCACACCGUAAACGAUGAAUGCCAGUCGUCGGGUAGUAUACUAUUCGGUGACACACCUAACGGAUUAAGCAUUC